rnacentral:tRNA from 1 species
UGCUUCAUAGCUCAGUUGGUAGAGCCCGCGACUGUUAAUCGCGUUGUCCUUGGUUCGAGUCCAAGUGAAGCAGCUC